UGGGGAAUAUUGGACAAUGGGCGGAAGCCUGAUCCAGCAACGCCGCGUGAGGGAUGACGGCCUUCGGGUUGUAAACCUCUUUCAGUACCGACGAAGCGAAAGUGACGGUAGGUACAGAAGAAGGACCGGCCAACUACGUGCCAGCAGCCGCGGUAAUACGUAGGGUCCGAGCGUUGUCCGGAAUUAUUGGGCGUAAAAGGGCUCGUAGGCGGUUUGUCGCGUCGGGAGUGAAAACAGCGGGCUUAACUCGUUGCUUGCUUUCGAUACGGGCAGACUAGAGGUAUGCAGGGGAGAAUGGAAUUCCUGGUGUAGCGGUGAAAUGCGCAGAUAUCAGGAGGAACACCGGUGGCGAAGGCGGUUCUCUGGGCAUUACCUGACGCUGAGGAGCGAAAAGUGUGGGGAGCGAACAGGAUUAGAUACCCCUGGUAGUCCACACCGUAAAACGUUGGGCGCUAGGUGUGGGGUCCUUUCCACGGAUUCCUGCCGUAGCUAACGCAUUAAG
rnacentral:rRNA from 1 species